CCUACGGGAGGCAGCAGUGAGGAAUAUUGGUCAAUGGACGAGAGUCUGAACCAGCCAAGUAGCGUGAAGGAUGACUGCCCUAUGGGUUGUAAACUUCUUUUAUAUUGGAAUAAAACGUUCCACGUGUGGGAUUUUGUAUGUACCAUAUGAAUAAGGAUCGACUAACUCCGUGCCAGCAGCCGCGGUAAUACGGAGGAUCCGAGCGUUGUCCGGAUUUAUUGGGUUUAAAGGGAGCGUAGGUGGAUUGUUAAGUCAGUUGUGAAAGUUUGCGGCUAAACCGUAAAAUUGCAGUUGAAACUGGCAGUCUUGAGUACAGUAGAGGUGAGCGGAAUUCGUGGUGUAGCGGUGAAAUGCGUAGAUAUCACGAAGAACUCCGAUUGCGAAGGCAGUUCACUGGACUGCAACUGACACUGAGGCUCGAAAGUGUGGGUAUCAAACAGGAUUAGAUACCCCAGUAGUC
rnacentral:rRNA from 1 species